CCCAUCGCUAGCUCGUUAACCUUUUUCAGUAAAGGAUGACUUGAUCAUCUUCUCAAUAAGAUAUGAUUCACAGGUCGACAAUGAUUCACAAUAAUUGAUGUUGAGGAUUUUCUCUUUAGUUAACCUAUUUAUCCUAUUUUUAUAUAUAUGAUCGAGCCUACAAUGCCAAAGAUAAGUAUCUACGAUAUUAUAUACUCUAGAAUAUUUAUUCGAUGUGUAUAUUAUACUAACAGACUGUGAUGUCAUGUUUCAAUU
rnacentral:lncRNA from 1 species